CACGCCGUAAACGAUGAUUACUAGGUGUAGGGGGUAUCGACUCCCUCUGUGCCGCAGUUAACGCAUUAAGUAAUCCACCUGGGGAGUACGGCCGCAAGGUUAAAACUCAAAGGAAUUGACGGGGGCCCGCACAAGCAGUGGAGUAUGUGGUUUAAUUCGAGGCAACGCGAAGAACCUUACCAGGGCUUGACAUCCUCUGACAACCCUAGAGAUAGGGGGAUAAUAAGUGAAACAGGUGG
rnacentral:rRNA from 1 species